rnacentral:rRNA from 1 species
AACAGGAUUAGAUACCCUGGUAGUCCACGCCGUAAACGAUGUCGACUUGGAGGUUGUUCCCUUGAGGAGUGGCUUCCGGAGCUAACGCGUUAAGUCGACCGCCUGGGGAGUACGGCCGCAAGGUUAAAACUCAAAUGAAUUGACGGGGGCCCGCACAAGCGGUGGAGCAUGUGGUUUAAUUCGAUGCAACGCGAAGAACCUUACCUACUCUUGACAUCCACGGAAUUUGGCAGAGAUGCCUUAGUGCCUUCGGGAACCGUGAGACAGGUGCUGCAUGGCUGUCGUCAGCUCGUGUUGUGAAAUGUUGGGUUAAGUCCCGCAACGAGCGCAACCCUUAUCCUUUGUUGCCAGCGAUUCGGUCGGGAACUCAAAGGAGACUGCCGGUGAUAAACCGGAGGAAGGUGGGGAUGACGUCAAGUCAUCAUGGCCCUUACGAGUAGGGCUACACACGUGCUACAAUGGCGCAUACAAAGAGAAGCGACCUCGCGAGAGCAAGCGGACCUCACAAAGUGCGUCGUAGUCCGGAUCGGAGUCUGCAACUCGACUCCGUGAAGUCGGAAUCGCUAGUAAUCGUGGAUCGGAAUGCCACGGUGAAUACGUUCCCGGGCCUUGUACACACCGCCCGUCACACCAUGGGAGUGGGUUGCAAAAGAAGUAGGUAGCUUAACCUUCGGGAGGGCGCUUACCACUUUGUGAUUCAUGACUGGGGUGAAGUCGUAACAAGGUAACC